rnacentral:rRNA from 1 species
AGUGAACGCUGGCGGUAGGCCUAACACAUGCAAGUCGAACGGCAGCACAGUAAGAGCUUGCUCUUACGGGUGGCGAGUGGCGGACGGGCGAGGAAUACAUCGGAAUCUACUUUUUCGUGGGGGAUAACGUAGGGAAACUUACGCUAAUACCGCAUACGACCUACGGGUGAAAGCAGGGGAUCUUCGGACCUUGCGCGAUUGAAUGAGCCGAUGUCGGAUUAGCUAGUUGGCGGGGUAAAGGCCCACCAAGGCGACGAUCCGUAGCUGGUCUGAGAGGAUGAUCAGCCACACUGGAACUGAGACACGGUCCAGACUCCUACGGGAGGCAGCAGUGGGGAAUAUUGGACAAUGGGCGCAAGCCUGAUCCAGCCAUACCGCGUGGGUGAAGAAGGCCUUCGGGUUGUAAAGCCCUUUUGUUGGGACAGAAAAGCAGCAGGUUAAUACCCCGCUGUUCUGACGGUACCCAAAGAAUAAGCACCGGCUAACUUCGUG